AUUGAACGCUGGCGGCAGGCCUAACACAUGCAAGUCGAGCGGAUGAAGGGAGCUUGCUCGUGGAUUCAGCGGCGGACGGGUGAGUAAUGCCUAGGAAUCUGCCUGGUAGUGGGGGAUGACGUCCGGAAACGGGCGCUAAUACCGCAUACGUCCUGAGGGAGAAAGUGGGGGAUCUUCGGACCUCACGCUAUCAGAUGAGCCUAGGUCGGAUUAGCUAGUUGGUGGGGUAAAGGCCUACCAAGGCGACGAUCCGUAACUGGUCUGAGAGGAUGAUCAGUCACACUGGAACUGAGACACGGUCCAGACUCCUACGGGAGGCAGCAGUGGGGAAUAUUGGACAAUGGGCGAAAGCCUGAUCCAGCCAUGCCGCGUGUGUGAAGAAGGUCUUCGGAUUGUAAAGCACUUUAAGUUGGGAGGAAGGGCAGUAAGUUAAUACCUUGCUGUUUUGACGUUACCAACAGAAUAAGCACCGGCUAACUUCGG
rnacentral:rRNA from 1 species